UGUGCCCUACGGGGGGCAGCAGUGGGGAAUAUUGGGCAAUGGGUGCAAGCCUGACCCAGCAACGCCGCGUGAAGGAAGAAGGCUUUCGGGUUGUAAACUUCCUUUGUCAGGGACGAAGCAAGUGACGGUACCUGACGAAUAAGCCACGGCUAACUACGUGCCAGCAGCCGCGGUAAUACGUAGGGGGCAAGCGUUAUCCGGAUUUACUGGGUGUAAAGGGAGCGUAGACGGCGCGGCAAGUCUGAAGUGAAAGGCAGGGGCUUAACCCCUGAACUGCUUUGGAAACUGCCAUGCUAGAGUGCUGG
rnacentral:rRNA from 1 species